CUGUAUAUAUAGAGAGAGAAUUACUCUCAAAGAGAGAAAGAACUUUGACACUAUUUUUCGGUCUCACUCGGCUUUAAUUUUUUCCUAUAAUAUUGUUAAUAAAGUUCACUGAGUGGAACAUAACCUGACUACAAGAGACUAGGAAGAAGGAAACAAGAGAAGUCAUUAUCAGUGGUAGUGGAAACAGUAUUUCUUCCCAUUCUAUCCAAACAGUUAUUAAAAUCUGGCUACAGCAUGCUGGAGAUCGGAUCAAUCAAAAUACCAAACGACAUGAAUUGAAGAAAUGAAAUGUUUAGAAAAAUAGUGGAGAAAAAGUAACGGAUCUACUUAGUCGCUCAAUGUCAUUUAUGUGAUGUCUUUUUUGUCUCAAAUAUUGACGCAUUAGAGAGCUAGCUUAUUGACAUCAUUAUGUUAUCUUCAAGAUGGCAUCGUCAGAAGUCCAACUCUCAAACUUGAUUACUUGAAGAGCUCUUUUUGAUAUCACAAUGCUCACUGGGAUGAUACAAAAGUGAAAUUGUGAAAUUAUAUAGAAUAUGUAUUUACCGAUCAAUGAACGCUACUAAAAUUAUUCAGAUCGCAUUUUCCACUUUUACUAUCUUAAUCAUAAAGAAUAUAUAUGGAACAAUUCAUUGUGCCAUAAUAAAUCUCGUAUUGUACUAUUUUUCCUGUUGAAAUUUUAAUAUUAAUCUAUUUAGAAAGA